GUGAAUCAUCGAAUCUUUGAACGCACAUUGCGCCCGCCAGUAUUCUGGCGGGCAUGCCUGUUCGAGCGUCAUUUCAACCCUCGAGCCCCCCCGGGGGCCUCGGUGUUGGGGGACGGCACACCAGCCGCCCCCGAAAUGCAGUGGCGACCUCGCCGCAGCCUCCCCUGCGUAGUAGCACACACCUCGCACCGGAGCGCGGAGACGGUCACGCCGUAAAACGCCCAACUUCUUAGAGUUGACCUCGGAUCAGGUAGGAAUACCCGCUGAACUUAAGCAUAUCAAUAAGCGGAGGA
rnacentral:misc_RNA from 1 species